AUGCAGAACAAUUUACAGACG
rnacentral:miRNA from 1 species